rnacentral:siRNA from 1 species
GAAUAUCGUGCUAUGGCCGCUGCA